GGCAGACACUGAGACACUAAGGGACACUGGGAGACAUUAUGGCAGACAUUGAGACACUAAGGGGCACUGGGAGACAUUAUGGCAGACAUUGAGACACUAAGGGACACUGGGAGACAUUAUGGCAGACAUUGAGACACUAAGGGACACUGGGAGACAUUAUGGCAGACACUGAGACACUAAGGGACACUGGGAGACAUUAUGGCAGACACUAAGGGACACUGGGAGACAUGGGUCACUGAGACACUGAUACAUAGGAACACUGAGACCUGGAGUAAUCGACACAUGGGGGCACUGAGUCAUG